UACGUAGGGUGCAAGCGUUGUCCGGAAUUAUUGGGCGUAAAGAGCUCGUAGGCGGUUUGUCGCGUCUGCUGUGAAAACUCGGGGCUUAACCCCGGGCCUGCAGUGGGUACGGGCAGACUAGAGUGCGGUAGGGGAGACUGGAAUUCCUGGUGUAGCGGUGAAAUGCGCGAUAUCAGGAGGAACACCGGUGGCGAAGGCGGGUCUCUGGGCCGAUACUGACGCUGAGGAGCGAAAGCGUGGGGAGCGAACAGG
rnacentral:rRNA from 1 species